rnacentral:rRNA from 1 species
AUACCCUAUUAUUUUAAGUGUUAAUUUUACUUACCUGGGUACUAUUAGUUAGGAUCUUUAAACCCAAAGAAUUUGGCGGUACCUUAUUCCAUUCAGAGGAACCUACCCCGUAAUUGAUAAUACACGAUUUACUUUACUUAAUUUAUUUGUUUGUAUAUCUCCGUUAUCAGAAAAUCUUGUUGGAGUUAUAAUUUUCUUGAUUUAUGAUUGUAAAAUAUUUCAGGUCAAGGUGCAGCUUAUGAUUAAGAGGAGGUGGGUUACAAUAAAUUUUUGUUUAUUAUGGAUUUAAUAGUUAAACACUAUUAAUGAAGGUGGAUUUGAUAGUAAUUUGAUUAAGUUAUUUUAAUUGAUAUUGGCUCUAAGGUGUGUACACAUCGCCCGUCGCUCUCA